CGGGGCAUAGCGCAGCCUGGUAGCGCGUUCGGUUCGGGACCGAGAGGCCGGAGGUUCGAAUCCUCUUGCCCCGA
rnacentral:tRNA from 2 species